AUUAGACCUCAGAUCAGGCAGGAUUACCCGCUGAACUUAAGCAUAUCAAUAAGCGGAGGAAAAGAAACUAACAAGGAUUCCCCUAGUAACGGCGAGUGAAGCGGGAAGAGCUCAAAUUUGUAAUCUGGCCCUUUCAGGGUCCGAGUUGUAAUCUCGAGAAGUGUUUUCCGCGUCGGACUGCAUACAAGUCUAUUGGAAUAUAGCGUCAUAGUGGUGAGAGCCCCGUAACUGAUGCAGAUGCCCGAUGCUUUGUGAUACACUUUCGAAGAGUCGAGUUGUUUGGGAAUGCAGCUCAAAUUGGGUGGUAAAUUCCAUCUAAAGCUAAAUAUUGGCGAGAGACCGAUAGCGAACAAGUACCGUGAGGGAAAGAUGAAAAGCACUUUGGAAAGAGAGUUAACAGUACGUGAAAUUGUUGGAAGGGAAACGCUUGAAAUCAGACUUGCUAUUCGGAAUUCAGCCGCAAGGUGUACUUUUCGAUUUGCAGGCCAGCAUCAGUUUUUGGGGGUGGAAAAGGGUGGAGAGAAGGUAGCAACCCCGGUUGUGUUAUAGCUCUUCACUGGAUUCAUCUUUGGGGACUGAGGAUCGCAGUGCGCAUUUAUUUGCAAACCUCCUCGAGGUUUCGUACCU
rnacentral:rRNA from 1 species